rnacentral:lncRNA from 9 species
AUGAUGUUUUAAAAGGAAAAUUAAUCAUAAACUCAUACUGGUAUAUCUAUUUCAGAUGAAAAGAUGCAGCCUUUCUUCAUGUUUAUGGAACCACAAGGGAUCUCAACAAAGAACUAAGAAGGAAAAGAGGCGAAAUUAUUUUGUCAUUUUCUCCACAAUCUUUAGGGAUUGUGUAUUCCACUUGGAGAUUGAAUGGAAGUGUGUAUCUCUUGCUAGAAUACCAUAAUAAUACCAGAAUGUACUGGCAUUUGCUACAGUUCUACAGAUAAUACUACCAGUCCAUUUACAGUUCAGGCAUGCAUUAACUGCCAAUGGAUAUGGUUAUAUAAAAAGGACUUGAACAGAUUUUUCUCCAGAGAAGGCAUACAAAUGGCCAACAGGUAUACAAAAAAAGCCUCAACAUUACAAAUCUUAAGGAAAAUGCAAAUAAUCAAACCCAUGGUGUCGUCACCUCGCAACUAUUAGGAUGCUAUUAUCAAAACCCCAAAAGAGGAGUUCCUGUCAUGGCUCAUCAGAAAUGAAUCUGACUAGCACCCAUGCAGAUGCAGGUUUGAUCCCUGGCCUUGCUCAGUGGGUUAGGGAUCCGGUGUUGCCAUAAGCUAUGGUGUAGGUCACAGAUGUGGCUCGGAUCCCCUGUUGCUGUGGCAUAGGCUGGCAGCUGCAGUUCCAAUUUGACCCCUAGCCUGGGAAUCUCCAUAUGCCAUGGGUGUGGCCCUAAAAUAAAAUUUUAAAAAAAGGCAACAAGUAUUGGUAAGGAAGUAGAGAAAUGAAAACUUAUCCAAUAUUGGUGGGAAAACAAAAUGAUGUAGCUUAUGGAAAACAGUACUGAGUUUCCUAAAAAAAAAAAAAAAAAAAAAAAAAAAAAAAAACUACCAGAUGAUCCAACAAUCCCUGGGUAUUCCAGCUAUUUAUUCAAAAGAAUUGAAAUCAGGACCCCAAAGAGAUAUUAGCACUCUCAAGUUCACUGCAGCACUAUUCACUAUAGCCAAGAGAUGGAAACAAUCUAAAUGUCUAUUGACAGAUGAAUGAAUAAAGGAGAUGUGGUACAUACAUACAAUGGGAUAUUAUUCAACUAAUAAUAAAGAAGAAAAUUCUGCUCUUUACAACAGCAUGGAUGAAUGCAUAGGGUAUUAUGUUAAGUGAAACAAACCAGACAAAGAGACAGAAACUGCAAGGUAUCACUUACAUGUGGAAAUUAAACCAAACCAAACCAAAAGAGUCAAAUUCUAAAACAGAGAGUAGAUUGAUGGUUGCCAAAUGCUGGGGUUAGGGGAAGAGAAGGAGUGGGGAGACAUUGGUCAAACUUUUCAUUUAUGCAAGACAAAUAAUUUCUAGAGAUCUGCUUACCACAUUGUGACUACAGUUAACAAUACAGUACUGUACACUUGAAAGCCUAGGAGGGUAAAUCUCACGUUAAGUACACUUAUUGCAAUAAAAAUGAAAACAUAAAGCAAAAUGAAAAAAAAUCAAAGACACAAAAUAGAAUGCGGUUUGGAAGAGGGGCAUGGAGAGUUAUGGUUUAAUGAAUACAGUAUUUCAGUUUUAUGAGAUGAAAAGCUUCUGCAGAUGGAUAGCAGUGAUGGUUGCAC